rnacentral:piRNA from 1 species
UACUAAUGCAUUGCUAAAUGGAUGGAUGU